GAUGAACGCUGGCGGCGUGCCUAAUACAUGCAAGUCGAGCGAACGGACGAGAAGCUUGCUUCUCUGAUGUUAGCGGCGGACGGGUGAGUAACACGUGGAUAACCUACCUAUAAGACUGGGAUAACUUCGGGAAACCGUAGCUAAUACCGGAUAAUAUUUUGAACCGCAUGGUUCAAAAGUGAAAGACGGUCUUGCUGUCACUUAUAGAUGGAUCCGCGCUGCAUUAGCUAGUUGGUAAGGUAACGGCUUACCAAGGCAACGAUGCAUAGCCGACCUGAGAGGGUGAUCGGCCACACUGGAACUGAGACACGGUCCAGACUCCUACGGGAGGCAGCAGUAGGGAAUCUUCCGCAAUGGGCGCAAGCCUGACGGAGCAACGCCGCGUGAGUGAUGAAGGUCUUCGGGUCGUAAAACUCUGUUAUUAGGGAAGAACAUAUGUGUACGUAACUGUGCACAUCUUGACGGUACCUAAUCAGAAAGCCACGGCUAACUACGUG
rnacentral:rRNA from 1 species